ACUCCUACGGGAGGCAGCAGUGGGGAAUAUUGCACAAUGGGCGAAAGCCUAAUGCAGCAACGCCGCGUGAGCGAUGAAGGCCUUCGGGUCGUAAAGCUCUGUUGUUAGGGAAGAACAAGUAUCGGAGUAACUGCCGGUACCUUGACGGUACCUAACCAGAAAGCCACGGCUAACUACGUGCCAGCAGCCGCGGUAAU
rnacentral:rRNA from 1 species